AGUGAACGCUGGCGGUAGGCCUAACACAUGCAAGUCGAACGGCAGCACAGUAAGCGCUUGCUCUUACGGGUGGCGAGUGGCGGACGGGUGAGGAAUACAUCGGAAUCUACUUUUUCGUGGGGGAUAACGUAGGGAAACUUACGCUAAUACCGCAUACGACCUACGGGUGAAAGCAGGGGAUCUUCGGACCUUGCGCGAUUGAAUGAGCCGAUGUCGGAUUAGCUAGUUGGCGGGGUAAAGGCCCACCAAGGCGACGAUCCGUAGCUGGUCUGAGAGGAUGAUCAGCCACACUGGAACUGAGACACGGUCCAGACUCCUACGGGAGGCAGCAGUGGGGAAUAUUGGACAAUGGGCGCAAGCCUGAUCCAGCCAUACCGCGUGGGUGAAGAAGGCCUUCGGGUUGUAAAGCCCUUUUGUUGGGAAGGAAAAGCAGCAGGUUAAUACCCCGCUGUUCUGACGGUACCCAAAGAAUAAGCACCGGCUAACUUCGUG
rnacentral:rRNA from 1 species